rnacentral:rRNA from 1 species
AAAUUGAAGAGUUUGAUCAUGGCUCAGAUUGAACGCUGGCGGCAGGCCUAACACAUGCAAGUCGAACGGUAACAGGAAGCAGCUUGCUGCUUUGCUGACGAGUGGCGGACGGGUGAGUAAUGUCUGGGAAACUGCCCGAUGGAGGGGGAUAACUACUGGAAACGGUAGCUAAUACCGCAUAACGUCGCAAGACCAAAGAGGGGGACCUUAGGGCCUCUUGCCAUCGGAUGUGCCCAGAUGGGAUUAGCUAGUAGGUGGGGUAACGGCUCACCUAGGCGACGAUCCCUAGCUGGUCUGAGAGGAUGACCAGCCACACUGGAA